GGGGGUGUGGCACUGUGGUAAAACAUCUGCUUUGAAUGCAGAAGAUCCCAAGUUCAAUCCUGGGCAUCUCCA
rnacentral:tRNA from 1 species